GAUCUUGGUCAGAACGAACGCUGGCGGCGCGUUUAAGCAUGCAAGUCGAGCGGCAAGGGCCUUCGGGCCCCUAGAGCGGCGGACGGGUGAGUAACACGUGGACAAUCUGCCCCCCGGCCCGGGAUAGCCCAGGGAAACCUGGAUUAAUACCGGAUGAGACGGGACCCGCGAUGGCGGGAUCCGGGAAAGGCGCUGCGGCGCCGCCGGGGGAUGAGUCUGCGUCCCAUUAGCUAGACGGCGGGGUAACGGCCCACCGUGGCGACGAUGGGUAGCCGGCCUGAGAGGGUGGACGGCCACAUUGGAACUGAGACACGGUCCAGACUCCUACGGGAGGCAGCAGCUAAGAAUCUUCCGCAAUGGGCGAGAGCCUGACGGAGCCGACGCCGCGUGAACGAAGAAGGCCGUGAGGUUGUAAAGUUCUUUUCGGGAGGGGGAACAACCGUGGCAGGGAAUGGCCGCGGGAUGACGUGAAUCCCGGAAUAAGCCCCGGCUAACUACGUGCCAGCCGCCGC
rnacentral:rRNA from 1 species